GAUCCUGGCUCAGGACGAACGCUGGCGGCGUGCUUAACACAUGCAAGUCGAACGCUGAAGCUCAGCUUUUGUUGGGUGGAUGAGUGGCGAACGGGUGAGUAACACGUGAGUAACCUGCCCCCUUCUUUGGGAUAACGCCCGGAAACGGGUGCUAAUACUGGAUAUUCACUUGCCUUCGCAUGGGGGUUGGUGGAAAGGUUUUUCUGGUGGGGGAUGGGCUCGCGGCCUAUCAGCUUGUUGGUGGGGUGAUGGCCU
rnacentral:rRNA from 1 species